rnacentral:rRNA from 1 species
CUCAACGGUGGGCCAGCAGGCGGGGGAAUACAGGUGGGGGAAAUGGUGCGCGGAAUUAUGGGGCGGAAAGCGCAGGUAGGCGGGUCGUUAAGUCGGAUGUGAAAGCCCCGGGCUCAACCCGGGAAGUGCAUUCGAAACUGGCGAGCUUGAGUAUGGAAGAGGGUCGCGGAAUUCCCGGUGUAGAGGUGAAAUUCGUAGAUAUCGGGAGGAACACCAGUGGCGAAGGCGGCGACCUGGGCCAAUACUGACGCUGAGGUGCGAAAGCGUGGGGAGCAAACAGGAUUAGAUACCCUUGUAGUC